GUCGAGAAUCUUCCGCAAUGCGCGAAAGCGUGACGGAGCGACACCGCGUGAUGGAUGAAGUCCUUCGGGGCGUAAACAUCUUUUAUAAAGGAGGAAAUUUUUGACGUUACUUUAUGAAUAAGGGGCUCCCAAUCUCGUGCCAGCAGGAGCGGUAAUACGAGAGCCUCAAGCGUUAUCCGGAAUCAUUGGGCGUAAAGGGUGCGUAGGUGGUUUGAUUAGUCUCCCGUUAAAACUUCGAGCUUAACUCGAAAAGAGCGGGGGAAACGGUCAAACUAGAGUAUGUGAGAUGUGUGUGGAACUCAUGGUGUAGGGGUGAAAUCCGUUGAUAUCAUGGGGAACACCAAAAGCGAAGGCAGCACACUGGCACAUCACUGACACUGAGGCACGAAACCUAAGGUAGCGAAUGGGAUUAGAUACCCGGGUAGUCC
rnacentral:rRNA from 1 species